rnacentral:rRNA from 1 species
UACGUAGGCAGCAAGCGUUGUUCGGAGUUACUGGGCGUAAAGAGUGUGUAGGUGGUCCUCUAAGUUUGGUGUGAAAUCUCCCGGCUCAACUGGGAGGGUGCGCCGAAAACUGGGGGGCUUGAGUGUGGGAGAGGAAAGCGGAAUUCCUGGUGUAGCGGUGAAAUGCGUAGAUAUCAGGAGGAACACCUGCGGUGUAGACGGCUUUCUGGACCACUACUGACACUGAGACACGAAAGCUAGGGGAGCAAACAGG